CCCAGACUCCUACGGGAGGCAGCAGUGGGGAAUAUUGCACAAUGGGCGAAAGCCUGAUGCAGCAACGCCGCGUGAGCGAUGAAGGCCUUCGGGUCGUAAAGCUCUGUCCUCAAGGAAGAUAAUGACGGUACUUGAGGAGGAAGCCCCGGCUAACUACGUGCCAGCAGCCGCGGUAAUACGUAGGUGGCAAGCGUUGUCCGGAUUUACUGGGUGUAAAGGGCGUGUAGCCGGGCUGACAAGUCAGAUGUGAAAUCCGGGGGCUCAACCCCCGAACUGCAUUUGAAACUGUCAGGCUGGAGUGCAGGAGAGGUAAGUGGAAUUCCUAGUGUAGCGGUGAAAUGCGUAGAUAUUAGGAGGAACACCAGUGGCGAAGGCGGCUUACUGGACUGUAACUGACGUUGAGGCUCGAGAGCGUGGGGAGCAAACAGGAUUAGAUACCCCCGUACCC
rnacentral:rRNA from 1 species